AACGGACAGCAUCCUCUGUGAUGAGAUGCAAAGUUGGAAGCAAGCACCGGGGCAGGAGGUAGACAGUGGGAAAGACUGAGUGGCUGGGAACGGGCAUGGGCCCAACACGAGGCUGCAUCCUCGGCUCCUCCUCACAGUCCCCUGGCAGUGGCUGAGGCCCAGCAUGCCCUCUGGGGGGCUGCUGGUGGGAGUGGCACCACACCUGUCACCCAGUGGGCACCCAGCAGUUCGCAAUCUCAGCCUGAAUCUGUCCAGUCACAGCCUGAACAACCUUGAGAGGAAUACUUGCACAGGUUCUACCUGCUGCAGGAGGUAAUUGCUUUGCAUUUUCCCGAGUGUCCCUCCAGCAAGCUCCAGGGAGGCCUGGGGAGUGGGUGGGGACCAGACAAACUGGAAGCCCUUAUGUCCUCGUGGGUAUGAAGACCCCCAGUGGCUAGAUCUCAUAAGCCAGAAAUUGAGAUUUGUAAAUGAAACCUUUGGAUUUUUUAAAGGUUGGCUACAAAAUCGAGUUUUCAGAAAACACCAUGCUGGCCACACACAGCUUCUGAGGGCCGGGUCCAGUCCUCGGGCCUCUGGUCUGCAAGUUCGUUUCUGGUUUCUCACACCCAGAUCCUCUCUGUUGCAGUGUUGAAUUCUCACCACCAGGUGGAGCUUCAGAGCCGCUCAGACUCACUUUCUCCUUUAGCCCAAACAGUUUUUGUUUUGCUUUGUUUUUUGAGACUCAUGGAGUCUCACUCUGUUGCCCAGGCUGGAGUGCAGUGGCACGAUCUUGGCUCACUGCAACCUCUGCCUCCUGGGUUCAAGAGAUUCUCCUGCCUCAGCCUUCCCGAGUAGCUGGACUACAGGUGCGCACCACCACACCCAGCUAAUUUUUGUUUUUUUGUUUUUUUUUUAGUAGAUACGGGGUUUCACCAUGUUAGCCAGGCUGGUCUCAAACUCCUGACCUCAAGUGAUCCGCCUGCCUCGGCUUCCCAAGGCCUCAGCCAGCCUGAGUCAGGAGGGAGUCAGGAGGGAGUCAACCACAUAAACACGCAAGAUAAUCUUCCAGGCUCCUCUUUCAGCCCAAUGAAGCCGUGCAGGCCCCCUCCCCUCCAUGGGGGAGGAGAGGGCUUGUCACUGUGGUGGAGGCCACUUGGACGCCAGGUCCGUCAGUCAGAUAGGUUCCCGGGAACACUUGUUUGGCAAAGAAGGUCCUGGGGCUCCCCUGCCAUCCAUGUCCACCUUUUCUGCCCCGCUCUCUCUCAGUGGUUCUCAAUCUGAGCUGCACAUUAGAAUCACCUGGGCAGUUUUCAAGACUUCUGGGUGCCAGGCCACACCCCAGACCAAUUGCGCCUGAUUCUCUGAGGGUGAAGCCUGGGCAUUGGUACUUUUCCAAGCAUUCCAGGUGAUUCUAAUGUGAGCCAAAGUUGAGCUCCACUGCAGCAGAAAUCAAGUUUCCAGGCACGAUUGGAAACAUCUGAGUCCAUUUCAUAAGGAACCAAAGAACUUCAGAGCUGGAAGAAGCCUCUGAGAUCAUCUAGGUCCACUUCUAUUAAAUUCAUGGACUCUUUUAUUAAGAUGUCUUAAUAUUAAUAGAACACAUUUAUAUAGCAUUUACUCUAUGUGCCAGGAGCUAUUGUAAAUGCUUAAUAUAGAUGGACUCAUAUCACCCCACAACAGCCCUUUGAGGCAGUAGCAUGUCCAUUUUACAGAUGAGGAAACUGAGGCACACUGCAGUAAUCUGUCCAAGGUCACACAGCUAUUUGAACCUGGGCAGUCUGGCUCCAGGCUGCUUCCUGUGUAAGCUCAAGGCAGAUAAAGGAGGCUGGGUCCUGCUUGUCCAGCCCCACCCAGGCAGAGCACAGGCAGGGACCCUCUGAAUGAGUCCAGCCCCCAGAUCUCUCCCUUUAUAGAUGCAGAAACCAUGGUCCUGAGGGGAAAAAGCCAGCAUGGCCAAUGCCCGUGGGGAGUGUCACCAAGCUGGGCUGGGAGCCUAAACCUUGGGGUCAGGAAGGGAAAGGAGAUGACUUACUUCUCAUUGUCGUAGUACAGCUUCCCAAUGGCCCAGGCCACAAUGAUGG
rnacentral:lncRNA from 10 species